UACGAAGGGGGCUAGCGUUGCUCGGAAUCACUGGGCGUAAAGGGUGCGUAGGCGGGUCUUUAAGUCAGGGGUGAAAUCCCGGAGCUCAACUCCGGAACUGCCUUUGAUACUGAGAGUCUCGAGUUCGGGAGAGGUGAGUGGAACUGCGAGUGUAGAGGUGAAAUUCGUAGAUAUUCGGCGGAACACCAGUGGCGAAGGCGACUCACUGGCCCGAUACUGACGCUGAGGCGCGAAAGCGUGGGGAGCAAACAGG
rnacentral:rRNA from 1 species